AUUGAACGCUGGCGGCAGGCCUAACACAUGCAAGUCGAACGGUAGCACAGAGAGCUUGCUCUCGGGUGACGAGUGGCGGACGGGUGAGUAAUGUCUGGGAAACUGCCCGAUGGAGGGGGAUAACUACUGGAAACGGUAGCUAAUACCGCAUAACGUCGCAAGACCAAAGUGGGGGACCUUCGGGCCUCACACCAUCGGAUGUGCCCAGAUGGGAUUAGCUAGUAGGUGGGAUAAUGGCUCACCUAGGCGACGAUCCCUAGCUGGUCUGAGAGGAUAACCAGCCACACUGGAACUGAGACACGGUCCAGACUCCUACGGGAGGCAGCAGUGGGGAAUAUUGCACAAUGGGCGCAAGCCUGAUGCAGCCAUGCCGCGUGUAUGAAGAAGGCCUUCGGGUUGUAAAGUACUUUCAGCGGGGAGGAAGGCGGUGAAGUUAAUAGCUUCACCGAUUGACGUUACCCGCAGAAGAAGCACCGGCUAACUCCGUGCCAGCCGCCGCAGUAA
rnacentral:rRNA from 1 species